rnacentral:rRNA from 1 species
CCUACGGGGGGCAGCAGUGGGGAAUAUUGCACAAUGGGGGAAACCCUGAUGCAGCGACGCCGCGUGAGUGAAGAAGUAUUUCGGUAUGUAAAGCUCUAUCAGCAGGGAAGAUAAUGACGGUACCUGAGUACGACGCCCCGGCUAACUCCGUGCCAGCAGCCGCGGUACUACGUAGGGGGCAAGCGUUAUCCGGAUUUACUGGGUGGAAGGGGAGCGUAGACGGCAUGGCAAGUCUGAAGUGAAAGCCCGGGGCUCAACCGCGGGACUGCUUUGGAAACUGUUAAGCUGGAGUGCAGGAGAGGUAAGUGGAAUUCCUAGUGUAGCGGUGAAAUGCGUAGAUAUUAGGAGGAACACCAGUGGCGAAGGCGGCUUACUGGACUGUAACUGACGUUGAGGCUCGAAAGCGUGGGGAGCAAACAGGAUUAGAUACCCUUGUAGUC